rnacentral:rRNA from 1 species
CGGCGAGCGAAAAGGGAGGAGCCCAGCGCCGAAUCCCCGGCCCACGGUCGCGGGAAAUGUGGCGUUUAGGAGUGAGCGUGCCGGGUUCGACGGCGGCGGCAAGUCCCCCUGACCGGGGCCUGUCCGUAGCGGGUGCGAGGCCCAUAGCCGCCGCCUUCGUCUCGGAUGCGAUCUCCUUGGAGUCGGGUUGCUUGGGAGUGCAGCCCUAAUCGGGUGGUAAACUCCACCUAAGGCUAAAUACCGCCGUGAGACCGAUAGCAAACAAGUACCGUGAGGGAAAGUUGCAAAGAACUUUGAAGAGAGAGUUCAAGAGUACGUGAAACUGCUCAGAGGUAAACGGGUGGGCCCUCGAAAUCCUGUGGCGAGAGGAUUCAGUCUGGAGGGUCGGACGCGGACUCGGAAGAUCGAGCAGGGCUUCCCGGUACCGGGGCCGUCCGAGACCGCGACUUCCGCCUUUUCCAGACGCAUUUGUCUCUCGUCCGAAGGACGCUGCAGCCGGUCUGGCAGUGCAAGCGCGACGGCCUGAAGGUCGGGAACCGGCAGGUGGCCGGCGGCACGCCUCGUGCGGGCUGUCGGUUGUUAGCCAUCCCGUCAGUGGCCCGUCGCCAGACCGAGGUGUCGCGAGUCCCUUUCCGGGACUCCUCGUCUCCACCACGUCAGUUGCGGGACAGGACGCGGCAAGGGAACCGUGCCAGCCCCGUCGCACUCUUACGGAGUGGGCGGGGGUGCUCGGGACCCCGUUGGCCGCGACGGACCCGUCGUGGGACCGGAGGCUGGCAGCGAGUAGGUCGGUCACCCACCCGACCCGUCUUGAAACACGGACCAAGGAGUCUAACAUGUGCGCGAGUCAAUGGGUCUUGACUAGGCCCAGGGGCGCAAUGAAAGCGAAGGACUGCCCAGCGCAGUCUCAGUGGGGAUCCCCCGCCUUAGCCGGUGGGGGCGCACCCACGACCCGUCCUAUCCGGCUCGCCGGUUGGGCGGAGUCUGAGCGUACACGUUGGGACCCGAAAGAUGGUGAACUAUGCCCGGACAGGACGAGGCCAGAGGAAACUCUGGUGGAGGUCCGCAGC